rnacentral:rRNA from 1 species
CAGCCGUAAACUAUGCUCGCUAGGUGUCAGGCAUGGCGCGACCGUGUCUGGUGCCGCAGGGAAGCCGUGAAGCGAGCCACCUGGGAAGUACGGCCGCAAGGCUGAAACUUAAGGAAUUGGCGGGGGAGCACAACAACGGGUGGAGCCUGCGGUUUAAUUGGACUCAACGCCGGACAACUCGCCGGGGACGACAGCAAUAUGUAGGCCAGGCUGAAGACCUUGCCUGAAUCGCUGAGAGGUGGUGCAUGGCGUAGACGUCU